CAGGUCGCCGCGGGAAUACGAGGGGGGCAAGCGUUGUUAGGAAUUAUUGGGCGUAAAGGGUGCGUAGGCGGUUCAGCAAGUCUCGUGUGAAAUCUUCGGGCUCAACCCGAAGUCUGCACGGGAAACUACUGGGCUUGAGUAAUGGAGAGGUGAGUGGAAUUUCCGGUGUAGCGGUGAAAUGCGUAGAUAUCGGAAGGAACACCUGUGGCGAAAGCGGCUCACUGGACAUUUACUGACGCUGAUGCACGAAAGCUAGGGGAGCAAACAGGAUUAGAUACCCCGGUAGUCCCUGUCUCUUAUA
rnacentral:rRNA from 1 species